CCAGCAGCCGCGGUAAGACGAACCGUGCCAAACCUUGUUCGGAUCCACUGGGCUCAAAGGGCGGUUAGGCGGUUUACCAGUCGGGGUUGAAAUCUUUCGGCCUAACCGGAAAAGUGGCUUCGAUACUGGUAGACUGGAGGGAGGUAGGGGCAGAUGGAACUUCCGGUGGAGCGGUGAAAUGUGUUGAUAUCGGAAGGAACGCCGGUGGCGAAAGCGAUCUGCUGGACCUCUUCUGACGCUGAGGCGCGAAAGCCAGGGGAGCAAACGGGAUUAGAUACCCCGGUAGUCCUGGCCCUAAACGAUGGGUACUGAGUAGUGGACUUGCAUGGGUUCACUGCUGAAGCAAAAGUGGUAAGUACCCCGCCUGGGGAGUGAUGGUCGC
rnacentral:rRNA from 1 species